GUGACGCUGGCGGCGUGCCUAUACAUGCAAGUCGAGCGGACAGAUGGGAGCUUGCUCCCUGAUGUUAGCGGCGGACGGGUGAGUAACACGUGGGUAACCUGCCUGUAAGACUGGGAUAACUCCGGGAAACCGGGGCUAAUACCGGAUGCUUGAUUGAACCGCAUGGUUCAAUUAUAAAAGGUGGCUUUUAGCUACCACUUACAGAUGGACCCGCGGCGCAUUAGCUAGUUGGUGAGGUAACGGUUCACCAAGGCAACGAGCGUAGCCGACCUGAGAGGGUGAUCGGCCACACUGGGACUGAAACACGGCCCAAACUCCUACGGGAGGCAGCAGUAGGGAAUCUUCCGCAAUGGACAAAAGUCUGACGGAGCAACGCCGCGUGAGUGAUGAAGGUUUUCGGAUCGUAAAACUCUGUUGUUAGGGAAAAACAAGUCCCGUUCGAAUAGGGCGGUACCUUGACGGUACCUAACCAGAAAGCCACGGUUAACUACGUGCCAGCAGCCGCGGUA
rnacentral:rRNA from 1 species